rnacentral:rRNA from 1 species
AGAGUUUGAUCCUGGCUCAGAUUGAACGCUGGCGGAAUGCUUUACACAUGCAAGUCGAACGGCAGCACGGGGGCUUGCUCCUGGUGGCGAGUGGCGAACGGGUGAGUAAUACAUCGGAACGUACCCUGAAGUGGGGGAUAACGUAGCGAAAGUUACGCUAAUACCGCAUAUUCUGUGAGCAGGAAAGAGGGGGGAUCGCAAGACCUCUUGCUUUAGGAGCGGCCGAUGUCGGAUUAGCUAGUUGGUGGGGUAAAGGCCCACCAAGGCGACGAUCCGUAGCGGGUCUGAGAGGAUGAUCCGCCACACUGGAACUGAGACACGGUCCAGACUCCUACGGGAGGCAGCAGUGGGGAAUUUUGGACAAUGGGCGCAAGCCUGAUCCAGCCAUGCCGCGUGAGUGAAGAAGGCCUUCGGGUUGUAAAGCUCUUUCGGUGGGGAAGAAAUUGCUUGGGUUAAUACCCUGAGUAGAUGACGGUACCCGCAUAAGAAGCACCGGCUAACUACGUG